ACGGCAACUGUGCAGAGAGGCUUGCAGGUCCAAACCACUGGUAGCAGCCCCUGGUAUAUCCAGGACAUCAGCACAUAGAACCAGUGAAAGGGUCCUCCCUCAUAGUGACGCAUGUCAUAGACUCAGAUUUAUACAAACAAAUGCUGAGCAAACCAUGAAGAGUCUCUGGUAUUUUCAACAAUAUCAUCACAGAGGAACUGUAUUGAUUUCCUUAUGGGGUUUGCAGGAGCAAUGGCUGUAGGGACACUAAGAUUUCACCCUCCAGAAGACAGCAUCUUCCUGUGCCAUGGCUAGAUCACCAGCUACCCACAGACAGCCUGAACUCCAAUUGUCUUCCUGCACAUGUGCCUUUAAAGGUUUUACUGGCAUUAUUGCUUUUUUACUUCUGGAACUUUUCAAAUGUAGAGGAGCCUUUAGAAGGAAGCCUUGAGCAUGAGGACAGACCCCCCUCAUCCAACCACCACCUGACUCUGUGUGAACCUGGAACUGUUAGAAUGUCUGUGCUGUGAUAAAAGGUCAUCUCCCUACAAUGUUAUGAUACAGACCUCAAACCUACAAACAUGAGGAACUUCUGCCUCCAGGUUAACUGCUUACCCACUGUACAAGACACGUUACACACAGUCCAGGAGGCGGAGCUUCUGAGAUAUCUAGAAACAGCUUAGAGGCAAAAUGACAAAAUAAAGCAGCAACAACAAAUAAAACCAAUCUUCUCGAA
rnacentral:lncRNA from 1 species